rnacentral:rRNA from 1 species
UGGGGAAUCUUCCGCAAUGGACGAAAGUCUGACGGAGCAACGCCGCGUGAGUGAAGACGGCCUUCGGGUUGUAAAGCUCUGUGAUCCGGGACGAAAGAGCCUGAGGUAAAUAGCCUAAGGAAGUGACGGUACCGGAAAAGCAAGCCACGGCUAACCACGUGCCAGCAGCCGCGGUAUUACGUAGGUGGCAAGCGUUGUCCGGAAUAAUUGGGCUAAAAGCGCGCGCAGGCGGCUUACUAAGUCCAUCUUAAAAGUGCGGGGCUUAACCGCGUGAUGGGAUGGAAACUGGAAAGCUGGAGUAUCGGAGAGGAAAGUGGAAUUCCUAGUGUAGCGGUGAAAUGCGUAGAGAUUAGGAAGAACACCGGUGGCGAAGGCGACUUUCUGGACGAAAACUGACGCUGAGGCGCGAAAGCGUGGGGAGCAAACAGG